GGUGGGGGGGGGCCUACACAUGCAAGUCGAACGGUGAAAGCGGAGCUUGCUCCGCCGGAUCAGUGGCGAACGGGUGAGUAACACGUGAGCAAUCUGCCCCAGACUCUGGGAUAAGCGCUGGAAACGGCGUCUAAUACCGGAUACGAGCUACGAAGGCAUCUUCAGUAGCUGGAAAGAACUUCGGUCUGGGAUGAGCUCGCGGCCUAUCAGCUUGUUGGUGAGGUAACGGCUCACCAAGGCGUCGACGGGUAGCCGGCCUGAGAGGGUGACCGGCCACACUGGGACUGAGACACGGCCCAGACUCCUACGGGAGGCAGCAGUGGGGAAUAUUGCACAAUGGGCGCAAGCCUGAUGCAGCAACGCCGCGUGAGGGACGACGGCCUUCGGGUUGUAAACCUCUUUUAGCAGGGAAGAAGCCUUCGGGUGACGGUACCUGCAGAAAAAGCACCGGCUAACUACGUGCCAGCAGCCGCGGUAAUACGUAGGGUGCAAGCGUUAUCCGGAAUUAUUGGGCGUAAAGAGCUCGUAGGCGGUCUGUCGCGUCUGCUGUGAAAACCCGAGGCUCAACCUCGGGCCUGCAGUGGGUACGGGCAGACUAGAGUGCGGUAGGGGAGAUUGGAAUUCCUGGUGUAGCGGUGGAAUGCGCAGAUAUCAGGAGGAACACCGAUGGCGAAGGCAGAUCUCUGAGGCCGUAACUGACGCUGAGGAGCGAAAGCGUGGGAAGCCAAACAGGAAGGCGAAAACGUGGGGAAGCAA
rnacentral:rRNA from 1 species